GACGAACGCUGGCGGCGUGCUUAACACAUGCAGGUCGAACGGAAAGGCCCUGCUUUUGUGGGGUGCUCGAGUGGCGAACGGGUGAGUAACACGUGAGUAACCUGCCCUUGACUUUGGGAUAACUUCAGGAAACUGGGGCUAAUACCGGAUAGGAGCUCCUGCUGCAUGGUGGGGGUUGGAAAGUUUCGGCGGUUGGGGAUGGACUCGCGGCUUAUCAGCUUGUUGGUGGGGUAGUGGCUUACCAAGACUUUGACGGGUAGCCGGCCUGAGAGGGUGACCGGCCACAUUGGGACCGAGAUACGGCCCAGACUCCUACGGGAGGCAGCAGUGGGGAAUAUUGCACAAUGGGCGGAAGCCUGAUGCAGCAACGCCGCGUGCGGGAUGACGGCCUUCGGGUUGUAAACCGCUUUCGCCUGUGACGAAGCGUGAGUGACGGUAAUGGGUAAAGAAGCACCGGCUAACUACGUG
rnacentral:rRNA from 1 species